rnacentral:rRNA from 1 species
GACGAACCGAGCGAACGUUAUUCGGAAUCACUGGGCUUAAAGGGCGCGUAGGCGGGCUGCCAAGUCAAGGGUGAAAGCCCCCGGCUCAACCGGGGAAGUGCCUCUGAUACUGGCGGCCUCGAGGGAGGUAGGGGCGUGCGGAACUUCCGGUGGAGCGGUGAAAUGCGUAGAGAUCGGGAGGAACACCUGUGGCGAAGGCAGCCUUCUGGGCCAACACUGACGCUCAUGCACGAAAGCGUGGGGAGCAAACAGG